CGCGGCGCUGGCCGAGGGCACCGGCGCGCGCGUGCUGCCGAUGCGCGACGGCCGCCUGCUCGACGCCGACCGCGACGGC
rnacentral:tRNA from 1 species